UAAGUAUAUGAUGCAUGUUGGGCCUUCAGGACAAUGCAAGGAAUCUGGUCUCCAAUCAACAUGGCAUCCAGAGAGAUUCUGUGAAAAUUUAGGUCACACCAUAUCACGUUGGUUGGAGACCAUCUUAUCUGCAUUACGGACAUGGAGAUGUUCAGCCAGGAGAUGUUUCUCUGCUACUCAGAAGUCCCAUAAUAUAUAGUGAUAUGUAUUGAAACAGAUAAGGGACAUUUGUGUAAUUAUGAGUCCUUCAGCAUGAUUUUCCCAGAGCCUUGACAUAAAACGAAAAU